UACGGGGGGGGCAAGCGUUGUUCGGAAUUACUGGGCGUAAAGCGCACGCAGGCGGCGUAUCAAGUUCGACGUGAAAGCUCCCGGCUUAACUGGGAGAGGUCGUUGAAGACUGAUAUGCUUGAGGCAAGGAGAGGGGUGUAGAAUUCCCGGUGUAGUGGUGGAAUGCGUAGAUAUCGGGGGGAAUACCAGUGGCGAAGGCGGGUCUCUGGACAGUUCCUGACACUGAGGCACGAAGGCCAGGGGAGCAAACGGG
rnacentral:rRNA from 1 species